rnacentral:lncRNA from 1 species
AUUUGCACUCCCUGUGGUCCCAGGUGGCAGGUAAGCUCUCAGUCUCUGGCUGUAUACUGUUAGAGACCUCUUCUUCCCGUGGGUAGCUUCCCAAGCAAGGGGGUUUUCCCAAACCUCAAGAACUGCAGGACUAUCAGACAUUAGCAGAAUUAGAUCUGCCUGGCCUCCGGGCCAAAAAAAGAUUUCAAUUGUUUCAGGACAGAUUAAAUUCAGGACUGGGAAUAGGGCAGGGGAGGUCUUUUUUCGCAGUCCCACCUGCCUGUGACUUGCAGAUCUGGACGAAGAAUUUCCUGUCCUAACUAGGCCUCAGUUUCCCUGAAAUAACAUCGAUUAGGUGGGAGUGGGUGUGGGUCAGUAGGAUUUCCUCUUACCCCCAGCCCUUUUCAAUCUAAUUCAGAAAUGAGGAUGAAGCCAAGUGUUUGGAGUUCUUGCGAAGAAAGAUACAACAGCCACACAAGGUAUUAUUAACUUUAUUACUUGUCAGGAAGAGGUGGGGGAAGCAGUUAAGAUUCGGCUAGAUGAGAGGUGAGUGUACUGCAUUACAAUCUCUGGAGGGUGUGGUGGGCAUAUGAGCUGGAAAGGACCAUUAUUUAUUUACUACUUUUGUUAAGUGCCUGUAAUGUGCUGGGUGCUAUGCUGGAUGUGUGUGUAACACAGACACAUAAACCAUUCAGGGUCAACCUUGCGUGGGUGGGAGGAGGUUAAAAGCACUUGCAUCUUCUUCUCCCUGAAAACAGAAACAUCUUCCUCCUUGGCCUACCAUGGUGCCAGCAAUCUCCAGCAUUAGCGAUGGCUCCUUGGGGGUAACCUGCAGAAGCUUCUUAACUGGGUUAAGGCAUCUUAUUACCUUGCAGGAGUAAGGCAAUCGCCAGCUCACUGAUAGUACACAAUGAUUUCGCUCAUUCCAUCCACUCUUGGCCAUUGGUGCAGCAGGAAGGGCCUUGGGGUCCUCCAAUUUGGACAGUGGGGAGGACUUGGCCCUGGGCUGACAGAUUGCUGCUUGGCAGGUUUAUGGGAGCCAGGCGUCAGCAUGGUGUGACGUGGGGAGGCAAGAGUCAAUGCCAAUGCAGGCAGCCCCCUCCCACCAAGCAAAGCGGCUUACAGACUUCGGAGAGGAAACAAAACAUCUACAUGCAAAUGUUGAACCAGAUUUCAGAGCAAGAGAGCAACUUCAAGAGCCAAGGCAGUUCCAACUACCAGGUGUUUAAUACCUUUUCAGCUUGGGUGGAUCAUGGAUCUCUUUGAGAAACUGAGGAGACAGUCUUGGAUUCUCUCUCUGUCUCUCUCUCUCUCCCCCACCUCCCCCUCUCUUGCACCUUCUUCUCCCUGCAAACAAAAUCAGAGUCCUGCUCUGUCACCCAGGCUGGAGUGCAGUGGUGCCACCUUGGCUGACUGCUAGCCUUGAACUCCUAGGCUCAAGUGAUCCUCCUGCCUCAGCCUCCCAAAGUGUUAGAAUUACAUGCGUGAGCCCCCACACCUGGCCUGGAUCCUCUCUUUUGUAGAAAAUGCACUUGCAUAGCAAACACACACACACAUACACACCUCUCACUUUUUUAAUGAAAUGUCAGGGUGUCUGCUGAUGCCUGAAGCACAUCCGAGGGCCGCAGUGAGAUAUUCUUCUUUGGAAGUGCUCAACAACCCUGGGAGGUAGGUGUGGCAGGGUCUCUUUUCAUACACCAUAAAACAGAGACCCAGAGGCAGCUCGCAACUUGCUCAGGUCAUGUAUUAGUGAGCAUCAGAGGCAGGCCAGGACCCCCAAUUGCACAGGUCUAGGAAGCACCAUUUCAUCCAAGUCUAUGUUGCAUGCCAAAGAGUGUCACUGACAGAGAACACAGUGAGACCACUGCUACCGCCCUGGAGUUAGGCAGUGCAGCAGCUCUAGAGGACCUCAGCCAGGGUCUUCUGAUAACCAUUUACAGGCAUAUAUGCAAAAAGCCCCACGGGGUGACAGAGGUAAGGAGUCCUGGAGGGGGAUCAGAGAGGGAUGCAAUUGCCGAAGACUUGGAUGCCUAAGCUUGCAAAUGGAAGACUAUUUCUAAAUCAUUUAUUCAUUCCACAGCUUCAUAGGUGGAGGUGAUUCAUAGGUGGUUCCUAUGUGAAUUUCAGUUCCCCUUCCCCCCGACCUAGAGUAAAAUCCACACUCUUAUUUAUUUAUUUAUUUAUUUUGAGAUGGAGUUUCACUCUGUUGCCCAGGCUGGAGUACAGUGGCAUCUCGGCUCCCUGCCACGUCUGCCUCCCAGGUUCAAGCAAUUCUCCUGCCUCAGCCUCCCAAGUACCUGGGAUUACAGGUCACCACCACCGCGCCAAGCUAAUUUUUUGAUUUAUACUAGAGACGGGGUUUCACCAAGUUGGCCAGGAUGGUCUCGAACUCCUGACCUCAAGUGAUCUGUCCACCUCGGCCUCCCAAAGCGCUGGGAUUACAGGCAUGAGCCACCGCACCUGGCCAAAAUCCACACUCUUCAUAGCGAUCUCUGUGGCUCAGCAGGGACCCCUCCAUGCCUCUCUGUCUCUCCUCUCUCUUGCCACUGCCUUUCUUGUUCAUUACACUCCAGCAACCCUGACCUUCUGUCAGUUCCUAGCGCUUGCCAAGCUUUCCCCUCCCCAGGGCCUUUGCACUUGCUGUUCCUCCUGCCUUGGAAGAUUCUAGCCCUGGCUGUUCCCAGGGCUGGCUCCGUCUCAUCCUUCAGCUCUCAUCUUGAAUGUCACUUUCUCAGAGAGAUCUUCUUUGACUUUAUCUAAGAAUAUCCCUCCACUAUUCUCUAGCCAUCUGUUUCUUUUUAGCACGUAUAACAAUCUGUAACUGUUUUAUGUCUUAAUUUGCUUAUGUAUUUAUUAUCUAUCUCUCCCUUGAUCAUAGAAAACAUGGUAAAGAUUGUAGCUACGGUGUCCUGUUCACCAUUCUAUCCCUAGCCCCUAGCACGUAUUAAGGGUUCAAUAAUUGCAGACUGAAUGACUGAAAGGCAUGUUUGGAAGCAGAAGUAUUCCUCGGCCACCACUUUAUCUUACUUAGUGCAGUAAUGCAAUCAACAUUUGGCUCCUGCUGUGAUGCUACCCUGAUCUCGGGCUGGUGAAAGCGUGACUCUCCAAGAUGAGCCAUCCAAGAAACCACAUAGAAAAGAUCAAGGUCCCAUAACUUCAGCUUGGGGAAGCAAGAACAAAUGUGGCAUUCCUCACUUAAGAAAGAAGAGGCUGUGAUGCUUGCUAAAAAAAAAAAAAACUUGUCAACUGGAUCCAUCAUCAAAGGAAACUGCCCCAUGGACAGUUUUAUGACGUAGUCUGAAGCACAGGAAAUGGGCGGCACGGGAGCAUCGGGGGACUUUUAGAAGUUGUAUUGCUUUCUUAAGAAAAUGCUGCUGGCUUCUGGAACUGCAGUUUAAUUAAAUUCAGUUGGCUGGAUACCUUCAAAGGCUGUUCCAGGUCUUCACCAGCCCUCACAGACGCAGGCAUCUUCCGAGCAAAUGUGUGAGCGAGAGAGCGGUGAAGCAGUCUCUGGCAAGACAAGGCAGGCAUUCUCCAAUCCUGGAUCAUCACACCCUGGCAUGCGGCAGGGCAGGUGGCCAAGGACCUGAGCGUCCAGAUCUUCCUCCACCCACCCCGCCCGGUCUCCAUGUGUGACAAUGGAGGGGAGACAAUGCUGUCUUCAUAGAGGUAGUGCAGAGAUCAGGGCUAUCAGAGGGGCCUGCAAAGGUGCACACAGACCCACUUUGGUCAAUUUGUCAGCGGUGAAAUCCGAUGCAGGUUCUCCCAGGGUGACUCGCUGCCACCCCAGGGAUGGAGUCUGCAGGUUUCUAGGGGCUGGUCCCCCAGGGAAGGAAGGUCUGAGGGCCACAGGAGCAUUUUGGGAACUUGAGCUCUUCCAAACCAGUCUGUAACACAGAAGACGCUAGAAAGAACACUAACUGGGUCAGAGAUGCAGUCCAGACACCAUGGGGCAUUCUGAUUAUCUUGAUAAGAUGUGAGCUCAAACAUAGACCCUGUCAGAUGAAAUGUCUCAGAAAAGGCAAUUUUCUGUUCAAUCUAACUUUUAAUUUAAAAAAUAAUAAUAACAGGCAGGGCAUGGUGCUUCACACCUGUGAUCCCAGCACUUUGGGAGGCUGAGGUGGGAGGAUCACCUGAGGUCAGGAGUUUGAGACCAGCCUGGCCAACAUGGUGAAACCUUACCUCUACUAAAAAUACAAAAAAAAUAGCCAGGUAUGGUGGCGCAUGCCUGUAAUCCCAG